AAGAAAAAAAAAAAAAUGUAUUUUCUGUAAGCCAAAUCCCAUGACAUCAGCCCUAGAGUGUGUUUGGAGAGACCCAUUUAUUUACUUACUUUUUAGUCACUUCCUGUUCAUUCUGUUGGUGAGGGAAAGACAUCUGCCCUAGGGUUAUCAUGGUGGCUCUGAAUACAGGAUGCGUGACACAGGACGGAUGAAAUGAGCUGCAGUUUAUGAGUCACCUAUACUCAUCACCUAAGAGGAUGACACUGCUUGCCUCGCAAGGCCACAUGGCAGUCGCAAUUGGGAACAGAACAGUAAGGGGCUGUGGGAGCCAGACUUCAUAGUAUCAAAAGGGUGAGGUGCCCCCUGCUCUCCUGGUCCCCGACACAAUUGGCAUUGGCUUGUUUGAAUGAUCCCAUGAGUGGACAGAGGACUGAAAAUGCACAAGUACUCAGGAAUGAGCAGGAACUUCCCAUCAUCCCUCUGCGGAGGAGGGUUGCUGGCUAGGGGAUCUUACCCACAGAAGCAGAGUCGGGAGGGGAACUUGGGAAAAGGCCAUUUGAGGUCCUCCUGAUUUUAAUCUCAAGCCUUCCUUUUACGCCUUAACAGCACACCUGCAACAUAAGGAAAUCCAUGUUGUAGAAUCAUGUUAUAUUGAGAUUUUGUGGAAUUUGUGGUAGCCGAAUCGUUAUGCUGGAGGAGGGAGGGGAGGGCAUCAGGUAUGCUUUUGGAGUCUUAUUGGAGUGACUCCUGGGAAAGGUAAUUUAUGUACUUUCUGCAUACACCGGUUCAAGAAAGCCACCAAAAUGAAGGGUCAUGUAAGUGCUUCCUAGUGCUUUUGUGCUGUAUUGAAAUGGCAUCUGCUCUGUAAGCCUAUCUUCUUUCUCUCACUGAGGAGAAUGUAGGGAAUCCCUAGCCACUGAUGAGAUAUCGAGCCAGCUCUGUGGCUGGUAACACUCAUCAUUUGCUCUCAUCGUGACUCCAGAAACAGGAGUCCCGGUUUCACUCUUGGCUGAGUGUCAUUCAGCAUCCCAGCAGGUAGCACAUGCCACCAUCCAGCAGAGCCCUUGAAAAGCAUUUGAUGGGGGAUGUCGUCAGAUAGAGAAACCACGCCAGUUAUUUUACAGAGAGAAUUUAAUGUCAGGAUGUGUUUAACCGGGUAGCUGAAAGAGUAAAAGUUGGACACUAAAUAAUCACAGAGGAUAAAUCAGCUGUAUGAAGUGGUGUUGAGAGAAGAACUAAAGGCAACAGUUGGAAUUUUAAAACAUUAAAGAUUAGAGAAGGGACCUCACAGGGCAGGAACCAGAUCUCCGAGGAGGGGGGCUCCCCGGCUGGUGCUGAUGGCUCUUGAGGGGGUGUGAUGAGGCUGGCUCUGCAAGUUUGGAAAAACAAACUGGAUUCUAUUUUUGCUGCUACUGGAACAAAAUGCCACUGCCAGGGUGAAAAAGAGAAGCUGCCAUGAGGCUGAUAGGAACAGGAGACAAAAACAAGGGUGACAAUUUCCUCUUCUUCCUCCAGGCUCACAUCUGCCUCAGCACAGAAUGAAUGGCCAACAAAUAGCUCUGGGACUCGCUGACAUGCAAACCAGGCCCUGUGUCACAAAGCAGCAGAGAGGGGGCUGGAGCUGGGGUGGGGGUGAGUUUUGACAAGAGCUUUAGAAGCAACACAGGAGUACUUAUAAUGGUGGGGACAGCAUCAAGGAACCCAACUAGGUUGUGAAGAGUCUCAGGGAAGGCAUCAGUGGGAGUUUCUUUUUUUUUUUUUUUCUUUUUUUUUUUGUGUGUCAUUUUAGGGCUGCACCUGUGGCACAUGGAGUUUCCCAGGCUCAGGUUUGAAUCAGAGUUAUAGCUGCUGGCCUAAGCCACAGCCACAGCAAUGGCAGGUUGGAGCCAUGUCUGUGACCUACACCACAGCUCAUGGCAAUGCCGAAUCCUUAACUCACUGAGAGAGGCCAGGCAUCAAACCUGUGUCCUCAUGGAUGCUAGUCAGAUUCAUUUCCACUGAGACACGAUGGGAACUCCAUAUACAGACUUCAUUUUAUUUUAUUGAAGUAUAGUUGAUUUACAGUGUUGUGUUAGUUUUAAGUGGACAGCAAAGUGAUUCAGAUAUCUAUGUCUAUGUCUGUAUCUAUGUCUAUGUCUAUAUCUAUAUCUAUAGAGGGAGAGAGAUGUUCUUUUUCAUGUCUUUUCCCUUUAGGUUAUUACAAAACAUUGAGUUUAGUUCCUUGUGCUCUACAGUAGCUCCUUGUUGGUUACCUUAUGUAUAUGUGUGUAUAUAUAUAUAGAGUAUAUUUUGUAUAUGUUAAUCCUAAAUUGCUAAUUUAUCCCCCCCUUUCUCCUCUGGUAACCAUAAGUUUGAUUCCUAUGUCUGUGGGUCUAUUUUUAUUUCAUAUAUAAGUUCAUUGCAUCAUUUUUCUAGAUUCCACUAAAAUGGAUAUCAUAUAUUUGACUUUCUCUUACUUCACUUAGUAUGAUAAUCUCCAGGUCCAUCCUUGUUGCUACAAAUGGCAUCAUUUCACUCAUUUUUAUGGCUGACUAAUAUUCCACUGUGUGUGUGUACCACAUCUUCUUUAGCCAGUCCUCUGUUGAUGGACAUUUAGGUGGCUUCCAUGUCUUGUCUUUUGUAAACAGUGCUGCAUUGAACAUUGGGGAGCAUGUAUCUUUUUGAAUUAUGGUUUUCUUUGGAUGUAUGCCCAGGAGUAGGGUUGCUGGAUCAUAUGGUAGCUCUUAUACAUAUUUUAAAGUUAUAUGUGAAGCAAACAAACUGUGAAAUAAAAUACAUUCUGUCCUCUUGAAAAUAUUGUUUCAAGAUAACCUGGAAGCUGGCUUUGAAUUUAUAAUCUUGGAGUUCUCUUGGAAAUUUGUGAGGUAGGGAUGUCCUGCAGUCCUGGCCUCUCAGCCUUCAGCCUGUGCCCUCACUUUGCUUCCCACCCCCAGCUCUGAGUACCCCUCUCCCAUGAAGGGAUUGCACAUACAUGAGUCUGGACAACCCUACCCACAUAUCCUUGCUCACUUUAUUCCCUCAUAAACAACUGAACCUUAACCACCCCUAGAAACUAUGAUUGAAAAAACUGAGUAUGUGAUGGACCCAGAUAGAAAGCCAAUGGACAGAACCUGUAACUAGGCUUUGAGCCAUUUGCGCAGCAGUCAUGGAGUCCCUAGUACGUGGCUCCUGAUGGAGAAGAGGGCAGUGCGUGAACUCCAGGUGUCAGGGCACCUUGGACCUAAGGGACAAGGAGAGGGGAUGAGGAGGUUAUGGCCAGGAGGGCAACUCAAAACACUCCAAAGCACAACCCCUAUGGCGGUGCUGGAAGCUUUAUCGCCAGUAGGCAAAGUGGGACAAGGAAAGAGGGUAGUCGCCAGAACAUCAGAGAUUCAUUGUAGGAGGGGCUUAUCUGACAGAGGCUGUGGCCUUCCGGAGAGGACUGCAGCCGUGGACCCCCAACCAACCCUCUUCCUAGUAGGGAAGUAAGCAGGAUAUAAAUACCCGCAUCUCCUCUGUUCUCCCCUCAUUAUCUCCUAUUGGCUGAACCCAACUGGAAGCCAAAGGGCAAGAGAUUCCAGACAAUGUAGCCCACCCAGCUCAACCUCCUGGGCACCAAGAGAGAUGGAGAGAGGCAGAUAGGUGCCUGGAGGGGCGAGUGGAAGCAACACAGUACAUCUAGUCUUCCAGUCUCUCUAAUCUUUCUUCCUAUAUGCUUGGCCCCAACUGUGUAUGGUUGGAUGCCCUACAUCUCCCACUCUGUCUGCCCUGCUGAUUUGCAUCCAUCAUCCAUCACCAACAUCUCCUGAUGUCAACCUUGUGUGACCCCAGAGAGCCCAGCCUAGUCACAAUAUAGUCAGGGGUCAAAUUUCCUGCCCUAAACAUACUGUGGAAGAGAAGAGAGAUGGGUAACAGUUUGGUAUUAAGACCAGGUGACCCUGAAACAGUCCUGUGUGCUAAGCACAGAGGAAUUACUCAAGGAAUAACAAUUAUCCAGGGAAGGAGGCUGUUCGUGCUGAACAUAUACCACUGCCCCUUGUCCUACCAACUGGAAGGAAGCACAUUUUUCUCGGGUCUCUUAGUCUCCUUAUUAGUUCUGAUUUUCAUUCAUACUUUUGUCUUAACCUUUUUGUUUGGAUGACCUCCUUUUUUAUAACCUUUCCCAAAUCCUUUUGAGAAAGAAGUAGCAUAUAAAAGUAUAUAAUAGUAGCAGGGAGUGAAUAGUAAUACAGGGCACUGCUUCUCAGUGACCUCAUGGCCAUGGAUUCAUAGAAGCAUCAUCCUUAUAAAAAGAUGGGGAUUUCUGGUCCAAAUUCCAGGUGUCUGGGAUUUGGCCCUAAGGUGAUUCUCAAGAGUCAACCACUGAUCUUGAGAGUCAACCACUGAUGACAUGGUUAAGAGUGGAUGACAUGCUUAAGUCUGAGAUCUAAGGAAGGUUUCUUCACCUCUCUGAGCCUUACUUUCUUAUUUGUAAAAAAAAAAGUGGAGUUCCCGUCGUGGCGCAGUGGUUAACGAAUCCGACUAGGAACCAUGAGGUUGCGGGUUCGGUCCCUGCCCUUGCUCAGUGGGUUAACGAUCCGGCGUUGCCGUGAGCUGUGGUGUAGGUUGCAGACGCGGCUCGGAUCCUGUGUUGCUGUGGCUCUGGCGUAGGCUGGUGGCUACAGCUCCGAUUCAACCCCUAGCCUGGGAACCUCCAUAUGCCGUGGGAGUGGCCCAAGAAAUAGCAACAACAACAACAA
rnacentral:lncRNA from 1 species